CCUACGGGAGGCAGCAGUGGGGAAUAUUGGACAAUGGGGGGAACCCUGAUCCAGCCAUGCCGCGUGUGUGAAGAAGGCCCUCGGGUUGUAAAGCACUUUCAGUGAGGAAGAACGCCUGGUGGUUAAUACCCAUCAGGAAAGACAUCACUCACAGAAGAAGCACUGGCUAACUCCGUGCCAGCAGCCGCGGUAAUACGGAGGGUGCGAGCGUUAAUCGGAAUUACUGGGCGUAAAGCGCGCGUAGGUGGCUUGAUAAGCCGGUUGUGAAAGCCCCGGGCUCAACCUGGGAACGGCAUCCGGAACUGUCAAGCUAGAGUGCAGGAGAGGAAGGUAGAAUUCCCGGUGUAGCGGUGAAAUGCGUAGAGAUCGGGAGGAAUACCAGUGGCGAAGGCGGCCUUCUGGACUGACACUGACACUGAGGUGCGAAAGCGUGGGUAGCAAACAGGAUUAGAUACCCGAGUAGUC
rnacentral:rRNA from 1 species